rnacentral:rRNA from 1 species
CCUACGGGUGGCAGCAGUGGGGAAUAUUGCGCAAUGGGCGAAAGCCUGACGCAGCGACGCCGCGUGAGGGAUGAAGGUCUUCGGAUCGUAAACCUCUGUCAGCAGGGAAGAACGGUCACUGUGCUAAUCAGCAGUGAAUUGACGGUACCUGCAAAGGAAGCACCGGCUAACUCCGUGCCAGCAGCCGCGGUAAUACGGAGGGUGCGAGCGUUAAUCGGAAUUACUGGGCGUAAAGCGCUCGUAGGCGGUAUUUCAAGUCAAGGGUGAAAUCCCCGGGCUCAACAUGGGAACUGCCGUUGAAACUGGCGAGCUGGAGUGUGGGAGAGGUUAGUGGAAUUCGAGGUGUAGGAGUGAAAUCCGUAGAUAUCUGGCGGAACAUCAGUGGCGAAGGCGACUAUCUGGCACAUAACUGACGCUGAGGAGCGAAAGCGUGGGUAGCAAACAGGAUUAGAUACCCCAGUAGUC